CCAGCAUUACAUUUUUCAUUGCUUUGAGCUACAAUAGCUCUUCUUUGUGAUCGGACCAGAUGGGCUAUCCUGCGCUCCCCACGUGCAUCAAUAAGCCUUGGGCAACAGUAUAAAAGAUGAAACAGAAAAAAAAGGACACAGUGGCGCUAGUAUUUCUAAAAUAUUGUGCAGCUAAAAUUACCCAAGCGUAAUGUCACCGUUUACACUUAAAAUGUGAUAUAGUAAGAAAGAAGGUGAUUUGCGCACACAGAAAAACACUACAGGUUAUUUGUAACACCUAUAUACAAAGAAAUAAAAUACACAUAGUGUAACCUGUAUAAAACAAAUAGUAGUGUAAAGGAAAUAUUUCUUCAAACUCACAAUUUUCCGAGCCCAUUCAAAGUUGGCUCUAGACUUAAGCGCUUGUCAUCUCAUCCUUGAGUUCGGAAAAAACGCCUCUACUACGAACGCUCCAACAAGAUGGACACCCUACUGGCCAGGGCACUAAACCCCAAGCCUCACUUCCAAACUAUCUCGGCGAUCCGAGAUAAACAAGGUCGGAUAACCCACAAUCCUACGGAGAUCAAUCAGAUCUUCACGGAGUUCCUAUCACACAUAUACAACCACUCCCCAGAACUAAGUAGUAAAAAUAGGGAAUACACACAUGACGUAACUAACUACGUAACCAGGACGAAUAUGACGGGACCGAACCCGGAGGCCCUAACCGCCUUGGGGGUGCCCAUCGAGGAGGAGGAGGUAGACAAGGCGAUCACGGCCCUAAAGGGAAAUAAAGCCCCGGGGCCGGACGGCUUCGACGGCUCCUAUUAUAAAACAUUUAGAGAAGUGAUAACUCCGAGACUGACGAAGAUGUACAAUGAAUGGAUGGACGGUGGACAUCCAAACCCGGACAUGCUCACAGCUGACAUCGCACUUAUACCCAAACCAGGGCGGGACUCAACCGAAGCAGCAAAUUACAGGCCCAUCUCCCUAAUAAAUUUUGAUGUAAAAAUCUUUGCAAAAAUACUGGCAACAAGAUUAAACCCCCUCCUAGGUAAAAUAGUACACCCAGACCAGGUCGGCUUUGUGCCGGCUAGGCAACUAUAUGAAAAUACAAGGAGAGGUGCUGAUCUCAUAUGGUGGGAGACUCGGACCCGGACGCCUUCUCUGAUCCUUUCCCUGGACGCGGAGAAGGCGUUCGAUAGGGUGCAAUGGUGCGCUACUUUUUGCGCUACUAGAACGCCUACACAUGCCAGAAAACUUUGUUAAAGGUAUAAAAGCCCUAUACACUGACCCGAGGGCCCAGACCAACGUACAGGGAGCAACCCCGACCCCAUUUACGCCCGCCAACGGCACGAGACAGGGCUGCCCCCUCUCCCCUCUGCUGUUCGUCCUCUCGUUGGAGCCUCUCUUGCAGAGGAUACGGGAGGAAGAGCACAUAACCGGGGUCAAGACGAGGGACGAAGAAUUUAAAGUCUCCGCAUACGCGGAUGAUGUCCUGGUCACGAUCACCAACCCGAGAGAAUCCUUGCCCCGACUUAUGACCCUCCUAGAGGAAUACGGACGCAUCACAGGCUAUCAAAUAAAUUUAGAAAAAUCGGUGGCCAUGCCAAUAGAAAUGGAUGCAGACAGCGUUAACGACAUUAAAAACGCCUAUCCCUUCAAACUUACGAGAUCCGAAAUUAAAUAUCUCGGCGUUAAACUCACCUCAGACCCGGCGAAACUAUAUAGUGCCAAUUACCCGCCUACAAUCCAGGCGCUUUGUCGUGACUUGGAAAAAUGGCACGAAAAGCCCAUAUCGUGGAUUGGCAGACAACACGCAAUUAAAAUGACACUACUCCCACGACUAUUGUUCUUGUUCCAGGCCCUACCCACCAAAGUCACUAAACAAGACCUGCAGAUGAUUCAGAAACACAUAGAUAACUUCAUUUGGGCACAGAAAAGACACAGGAUUGCAAGUAAUGUACCGACCGAAAGCGAAGGGUGGACUAGGACUCCCACUCUUAUAUCAAUACUACCUGGCGGCGCAACUAGCCCAAAUAAUAACAUGGCACACUCCGGAGGGCUCGCACAGGUGGGUAGACCUAGAGACAAAACUUAUGUGUACGGACCUCCCACAAUUUUGGAUCUGGGUACCCAAACAAGACAGACCACCCCUACGCACCUCUUGUCCGGCGAUCCUUAAUUCCAUAAGGAUCUGGGAUCUAACAGCCACCAAAUACGCACUAAAACACACACCCUCGCCACUGACUCCAUACUUACGGAACAAAGCAUUCGAACCCGGGCUGACCGCACGAGAUUUUAGGGGGAUAGAAGACACAGGAAUGCAAAGAUACGGACAUAUGUACGACGGCGACUCCUUCAAAACCUUUGACACCCUAAAAGCCAUGGCCCCCCUGACAACCAAAGACGUAUUCAGAUAUGUACAGUUGAGAGACUUUGCCAAAAACCCAGAUAUUAAAAAAGCAGCACAGACCCCUAUGACAUUUUUCGAACAAAUGUGCAACGCAGAAACUACACAAAAGGGGCUGAUCACGGCCAUAUAUGCGCAGUUGAGUUCCCCAGAAAAGGGAACCGCAGACCCUAGAUAUAUACACCAGUGGGAGGAGGACCUAGGGGGGGCUAUAAGAGGACUGGGUGGAUAUCUGGGAAGCGACGGCCAAGACGUCAAUUUGUGUACUACACCAAGAACAAUCCUAUAAAAUGCUCAUGAGGUGGUACACAACAUCGGUACAACUCCAUAAGAUGGGGAAAACCACGACAGACACAUGCUGGAAAGGCUGCGGAGGCAAAGGCACCUUUGUUCACAUGUGGUGGGAGUGCCCUGAAGUGACCAAAUACUGGAAAAGGGUCCAAACAUUAGUGAAAGGGGUUCUCACGCGACAUAUAGACUUAGAUCCCUGGGCGAUGCUACUGUCCCGACCAAAGGACGGCCUUCCUAGGAAGGAGCAACAACUUUUAAAUAAACUCACACUGGCUGCGAGACGAGCCCUCGCGCAGAUGUGGCUUAAACCCACAGUCCCCACAGACAACGACGUGAUAGUUAAAAUCAAAGACUCCUAUUUGAUGGACAAACUCACAGCACAAAUCAGAAAUACGGAAAAAACAUUCCAAAACAUCUGGCUUCCCUGGGAAGUGUACGCUAACGAAAAUGCUAUAUAGCCUGGAAAAGGUUCGCAGUGGUUUGGCGGACCUCCUCCCGCCGGGCGCCCCGAGAAAUACCAACCAUUUCCUUUCCCCUUCCUGCUCCAUCCCCACAGCACCGACAAAGCUCAGCUCCCUACCUUUCCACAGCUUGAGAAAUGCACCAAAAAGUCCCAAAACAACUGCAAAAAUCUCUAGAAUGGCGCUCCAACACCUCCACACUCGAUGCCACAUGCUACCCACAGGCUCCAGCAUGCAGGGGGCAGUGCUAUAAACCUCCCAGGUGCAAUUGUGUAUUGUGAAACAAAUUUGUAAACCAAGGCAUUAUUUUUUAUGGAUUUUCAUUUGUAAACCGAAAAUUAUGUUAACCGAGGCGUUUGUAAACCAAGGUCCCACUGUACAUAAAUUCUAAAGAAACAAAAGUGUAAGCACACAAAAAAUUGGAAUGGGGACCAGGAAAAGGCAGAAAUUUUAAAUAACUAUUUCUCCUCCGUAUAUAUUUAGGAAGAACUCAUGGCAAUAGAUGUGCAAAUGAUUGCUGCUAAAAACUUGCAGAAAAAUUGUUUAUGGUUAACUCAAGACAAGGUGCUGCAACAACUAAAGAAAAUAUAAACAAAGCUCCAGGGCCUGACGGUAUUCAUCCACGAGUAUUUAAGGAACUAAGCGUAGAAAUAAGUGAACCUCUGUUUUUAAUCUUUCAAGAUUCUUUUCUUUCAGGAAGUGUUCCGGAGGAUUGGAGGAAGGCAUAUGUGGUUCCUAUAUUCAAAAAGGGUUCAAAAUCCUUGCCUGGAAAUUAUAGACCUGUGAGCUUAACUUCUGUGGCAGGAAGAGUAUUUGAAAGGUUAUUAAGGGAUAACAUUCAAGAAUGCCUUGAGAAGAACAUUGCUAUCAGCAAAAAUCAGCAUGGUUUUAUGAAGCACAGGUCAUGUCAAACUAACUUGAUUGCAUUCUACAAUGAAGUAAGUAUAAGUAUUGAUCAGGGUGUUGCUGUGGAUGUGAUCUAUUUGGAUUUUGCCAAGGCAUUUGAUACAGUUCCACACAACAGAUUAGUAUUCAAACUCAAAGAAAUCGGUCUAGAUGAAAAUGCUUGUUCUUGGGUAGAACAUUGGCUUAAAAAGAGAGUAUAAACACAAAAAAGUGUAGGUGCGCAAACAAUCAUAAGUUCAAUUAAAUGAUAACUACAAUUUACAAUUACCUCCCAGAGUUCCUAGUAGGUUGCUGCAGUAACAUCAUUGCCACACAAAUAUAAAGUCACCUUAACUGAUUUUAAUUAUUGCGCCAUUCUAAUCUAUUUUUUCUAUGUUUUAAAAAUAGAGUACAAAGAGUUGUCAUUAUUGGUAAAAUUUCAAGCUGGACAGAGGUGGCAAGUGGGGUCCCUCAGGGUUCUGUUCUAGGACCCCUUCUAUUUAACAUGUUUAUAAAUGAUCUUGAAAAAAAGCAUUGAAAGUCAUGUUUCAAUGUUUGCAGAUGACACAAAACUUUGUAAAAUAAUACAAUGUGAGCAAGAUAUUACUUUGCUGCAGAGGGAUUUAGAUAGACUGGGGGACUGGGCACUCAAAUGGCAAAUUAAAUUUAAUUUGAAAAAUGCAAAGUUAUGCACUUUGGCAUAAAGAAUACACAAGCAACGUAUACCCUUAAUGAAAGCAAAUUAGGGAUAACAACACACGAAGAGGACUUGGGAAUUGUUAUAGACAACAAACUAUGCAACACUGUGCAAUGUCAAUCAGCAGUGGCUAAGGCCAGUAAGGUAUUGUCAUGCAUGAAAAGGGGCAUUCAUUCUCGGGAUGAGAAUAUCAUUUUGCCUCUUUAUAAAUCACUGGUAAUCAUUGAGUUUGCUGUGCAAUUUUGGGCACCUGUUCUAAAGAAGGAUAUUAUGGCACUAGAAAAAGUGCAGAGGCGGGCUACAAAAUUAAUAAAAGGAAUGGAACAUAUCAGCUUUGAAGAAAGGUUAACACAUAUAAACCCCUUUAGUUUAGAAAAACGUCACCUGAGAGGGGAUAUGAUAACAUUAUACAAAUAUAUUCUGGGCUAAUACAAACAAUUGUGUGGAAAUCUAUUCACAAACCGGACUUUACAUAAGACACAAGGUCAUGCAUUUAGACUGGAAGAAAGAAGAUUUUGUCUAAGGCAAAGAAAAGGUUGUUUUUUUUUGUUUACUGUAAGAACAAUAAGGAUAUGGAAUUCUCUGCCUGAAGAAGUAGUUUUAUCAGAGUCCAUACAGAUGUUCAAACAGCAACUAGAUGCAUACUUGAAAAAAACAGAAUAUUUAAGGUUAUAAUUUUUCAAUGUAGGGUAAUAACUGCUUGAUCCAAGGAUAAAUCUGACUGCCAUUCUGGAGUCAAGAAGGAUUUUUUUUUCCUAGUUUGCAAACUUUUAAUGUUCUGGAUGAUCAGUGACUAUGCUAUCAUUUAAGGAAUUGUUUUUCUCUUGUGGUACACACUUUAAAUGAACUAAAAAAUACUAUGUAAUUGCUUUGCUUGUCAGAGUGAAUUUAGACUUAAACUGAAAAAAAGGCAGCUAAUGAGUAUUAAAAUACCUGUGGAUCGCUUCUCAGUGAUGCAAUGCCUCCACCUCCCAACGAAUUCUUUAAAACAAAGUUUAAAGCAUAUAUUCCAGGCAGCUCAUAUCU